GAUUUAGAGGAGGGACCCGGCCUAGCCGGUGGUUCAGGUGGCCGGUCGGGCUGGAAGGGCGGGGAUGAGGGAUGGGAAGCAUCCCGGGGGAUGCUCCUCCAAAGCUUUUAUCGGGCGAGCGCAGUGGCUCACGCCUGUAAUUCCUGCACUUUGGGAGGCUAAGGGUCUCACUCUAUUGUCUAGGCUCGAAUGCAGUGACGUGAUCAUGGAUCACUGCAGUCCUCAACUUACUGGGCUCAGGAUGAAAGGCUUCCUAGCACAAACACCACCCCUGGAGUUCCCGUUACAUCAAUACCAGCCUGGGGAUCACGUUCUCAUCAAGAGUUGGAAGAGGGAAAGCUUGAACCAGCUUAGGAGGACCUUAUCUGGUACUCUUGAUGAAUGAAACAGCAAUCUGAAUGGCUGAAAAAGGAUGGACCCAGCACUCCAGGGAGAAAACUUGGCAUUCUUUGGGAAUCUAACAGGAUGCAGUGAACCCAAGCCUUUUCAAGAGCUCACCAAUCAGACUGCCCUUGUCUAUCCAUGAGCAGAUGUUUGAUAGUAUUGCAGAGGACCUCUAAUGGGUAUGCUGCCAAGCAACUGGAGUGGCACUUGGGCUCUAAUCCAGUUGUCUAUCCCUUUCACCCUGGCAUUUCAUCAGCCAAACAAAAACCAACUAACUCAGAGAAAAAGGAAAUCCCCUCAAGGGUCCUUUGACCCCGAUAUCUACAUAGAUGCUAUCGGGGUCCCCUGAGGGGUACCAAACGAAUUCAAAGCUCGAAAUCAAAUAGCUGCUGGAUUCAAGUCUGUCCUUUUCUUGUGGUCUACUAUAAAUAAAAAUGUAGACUGGAUAAAUUACAUAUACUAUAACCAACAAUGAUUUGUCAAUUACACCAGGGAUGCCAUUAAAGGAAUAGCUGAACAAUUGGGUUUCACCAGCCAAAUGGCCUGGGAAAAUAGAAUAGCUCUUGACAUGAUAUUAGCGGAGAAAGGUGAAGUCCAAUGUUGUAUCUUUAUCCCCAAUAAUACAGCCCCUGAUGUAACUAUCACUAAGGGUCUAUAAGGCCUCACCACUCUAGGAAAUGAACUAGCUGAAAAUUCAGGAAUAAAUGAUCCCUUUACAGGUGUAAUGGAAAAAAUGGUUUGGUAGAUGGAAAGGACUAAUGGCCUGUAUUCUCACUUCCCUUGUGAUCAUAAUAGGGGUGCUCAUUCUCUUAGGGUGCUGUAUUACACCCUGUGUCUCCGGACUAGUUCAAAAGCUCAUAGAAACAGCCCUUACCAAGACCUCCCACAACUCUCCCCCACCCUAUUCAGAUAAACGUUUAUUUCUAAGCAACCAAGAAGAGCAGUGAAGCCAGAUCCUGUUAGAAGUAUAUGAAGAGGAAGGACUACAAAAUCAAAAGGGGAAAAUUAUUAGACAAAAUGAGUUGCUCUACAAAGGUCCAACUUCCUUGUCCUUUGUUCUGUAACCUUUGUUCUGUAAACUGCCCUUCCCGCAAAAACUGUCUUUCCCGCUGACCAAAACUGCCCUUCACUACCACUGUAAUCCAUACCCCUAAUCUAUUUGAAACUGCCAAUCGGGAUCAACUUACAUUGUGUGGUUCAACCACCAGCCAAUGAGGAAAAAACACAGAAGCAGAAGCUAUGAUGCAUUAGGGUUAAAAACCCCUUCCUUUCCCUGUCCAAUGUGCUCUUGAGACUGCUACAGGCGCAAGCAGCCACCUUCUGCAGAAGUAAACCUUGCCUUGCUGAGAAA